UGGUACUGCAUGUCUAGUAUAAGCAUUAUACGGCGAAACUGCGAAUGGCUCAUUAAAUCAGUUAUCGUUUAUUUGAUAGUACCUUACUACAUGGAUAACCGUGGUAAUUCUAGAGCUAAUACAUGCUGAAAACCCCGACUUCGGAAGGGGUGUAUUUAUUAGAUUAAAAACCAAUGCCCUCACGGGCUCUCUGGUGAUUCAUAAUAACUUCUCGAAUCGCACGGCCUUGCGCCGGCGAUGGUUCAUUCAAAUUUCUGCCCUAUCAACUUUCGACGGCUGGGUCUUGGCCAGCCGUGGUGACAACGGGUAACGGAGGGUUAGGGCUCGACCCCGGAGAAGGAGCCUGAGAAACGGCUACUACAUCCAAGGAAGGCAGCAGGCGCGCAAAUUACCCAAUCCCGACACGGGGAGGUAGUGACAAUAAAUACUGAUACAGGGCUCUUUCGGGUCUUGUAAUUGGAAUGAGUACAAUUUAAAUCCCUUAACGAGGAACAAUUGGAGGGCAAGUCUGGUGCCAGCAGCCGCGGUAAUUCCAGCUCCAAUAGCGUAUAUUAAAGUUGUUGAGGUUAAAAAGCUCGUAGUUGAACCUUGGGCCUAGCCGGCCGGUCCGCCUCACCGCGUGCACUGGCUCGGCUGGGCCUUUCCUUCUGGAGAACCGCAUGCCCUUCACUGGGUGUGCCGGGGAACCAGGACUUUUACCGUGAAAAAAUUAGAUCGCUUAAAGAAGGCCUAUGCUCGAAUACAUUAGCAUGGAAUAAUAGAAUAGGACGUGUGGUUCUAUUUUGUUGGUUUCUAGGACCGCCGUAAUGAUUAAUAGGGACAGUCGGGGGCAUCAGUAUUCAAUUGUCAGAGGUGAAAUUCUUGGAUUUAUUGAAGACUAACUACUGCGAAAGCAUUUGCCAAGGAUGUUUUCAUUAAUCAGGAACGAAAGUUAGGGGAUCGAAGACGAUCAGAUACCGUCGUAGUCUUAACCAUAAACUAUGCCGAUUAGGGAUCGGACGGCGUUAUUACUUGACCCGUUCGGCACCUUACGAUAAAUCAAAAUGUUUGGGCUCCUGGGGGGAGUAUGGUCCGCAAGGCUGAAACUUAAAGAAAAUUGACGGAAAGGGCACCAACCAGGGGGUGGAGCCUGGCGGCUUAAUUUUGACUCAACCACGGGGGAAAACUCACCCAGGGUCCCGAACACCGAUGAAGGAUUGGACCGAAUUGGAAAGCUCUUUUCUUGAUUUUCGGGGGUGGGUGGGGGCAUGGGCCGUUUCUUAAUUUGGGGGGAAAGGAUUU
rnacentral:rRNA from 1 species